rnacentral:rRNA from 1 species
UUAGCCCUAAACCUCAGUAGUUAAAACAACAAAACUACUCGCCAGAAUACUACAAGCAACAGCUUGAAACUCAAAGGACUUGGCGGUGCUUCACAUCCCCCUAGAGGAGCCUGUCCCAUAAUCGAUAAACCCCGAUCUACCCCACCCUCUCUUGCUCAGCCUAUAUACCGCCAUCUUCAGCAAACCCUGAUAAAGGUUACAAAGUGAGCGCAAAUGCCCAUCUUCGCAAAAACGUUAGGUCAAGGUGUAGCCCAUGAGAUGGUAAAAGAUGGGCUACAUUUUUUAUCUCAGAAAACCC